GAUUGAUUGGUGCAAGGCUCGUCCAAAACUGUUAAACCGAUUUUGUCUUCUACGCCGUCUGGUCGCGGGAUUUUGAUAAAAGCGUCUAUGUCACCCACUGCUGGGAUGUAAUCGGGGAUGAAUGGUGUAAAAAGUUGGUUUUCAUCCUUUUCAUACUUCGACGCGAGAACCACGAGGAGAAAAAGAACGGCACAGAUAACCGAAAAAGCUACGACAUCUGUUGUAAUAUUCCUCAACGUGACACGAAGUUUCGUAUCCGAAGAAUCGAAGUUGUCGUUUGUUGCCAACCAGAACACUUUAUAGAGAAUCACAUCCUAAAACAAGAGCAACGUUGACAUUUUGUUUUGAGGCACACAUCGAAUUUGUGAUUUAUCUUUUGUCUAACAUAUACAACAUACUGGUUUUAAAGCACGGAGUUCAUUAUUUUAAGAACUAUACGUAUGUAAAGUUUAUGCAUAUUGCAGUGUUUACUUGGAGACAUACAUGAUUUAUUACAUCAAGGGCUCGAUUAACUAUCAAUUGGUGUUAUUUUGUUGAAGUUGAUCUAUGAGACUUUCAGAUAAUUUUAGAACAAUUUCUAUUACAUAGUCUACAUCGUAAAGUAGUCAUCAAUGACAUUUAUCGAGAAUAUAUAAAAUAAAACAUAAAAUGCAAAUGAAAGACAGAUAGAUGAACUAGAUAUAACAAAUCUUAAAACUAACCUUCGUGACUACUUAUAACACAACAAUAUCAAUGAGAAAGCAACAGAAUGAAUUGAUAUUGAUUUGAGUUAGGUUUCAUUAAUAUUAUUAAGAAUCAUAUUGAUGUCAGAUGUAAGUAAAUCAGCGAAAGAUUAGAUGCGCAAGAGAGGUUAGUAUCAUUUUUUAAAAGUCAAUAUGGUAUCCAAAUAAACUGAGCAAUAUAUACAAACUUUAUAUACGCAUAAGUUGUAAAAUAAUGAUCUCCGCGAUUUGAAACUGGGAUUUUUGGAUUCCACUUAUGAUAUGAUAAAUAAGGGUCAUAAAUUUGGUAUGUCCCACACAAGCGCGACGUUAUUUUCUUCUUCUUAAAUACUACAGAAAAAUAGCUUUUUUAAUUUAAGUAAUUUUUCUAUCAUACUGAUUGACAUCUAGAUGUUCCGUUGUUCCUGUAAUAAGGAGGUUAAUCACGCGAUCUUACUCGUUCCCUCGUCUUCUCGUGGAUACAGUGGAAAUUUGUCCGACUAUCUUUUGCCAGAAAAAUCUCACAUUGCUCUACCUACUGCCCAGAAUUUGACAAAAGCUUCGCGAUUCAAGAUUACACUGUCAUUUGUUAUAGAAAUCG